GGAGCCUUUCCUCAUGCAGACAGAUAGGAUCAAGUACAAAGCUCUGGCAGAUCAAUUCAGAGAACCACAGCAAGAGACAGGCUGUGAAUUAGAAGCUGCUGGAGCCGACAAUUCCUCAACAGGAUAAGAAGAUCUGGAAAGAUGAGCCCAGAGAGGAUGAUGGAUGUUUGUUCCUCCUUUGCAGCUAAUGAAAGAGCCAGACCUGCAUCUCUAAUCAUCCCACCAGAACUUCUUGCUUCUCACCCUUCUGCCCUUAUAUAAAUUGGAGGAUCUGUGCCUUCUGGAUCUUGGGAGAUAAUAAAUUCCAGGAUAGCAGAGAUCA
rnacentral:lncRNA from 1 species